AUAUAUAUAUAUUAAAAGUCUUAAAUUGAAUUCCCUUAAACAUGCUGAUAUCCUGAUAACAUACUUGCUAAUUCUCCUGUCUAACCAGAUGGUCAGUUCUGUUGCAGACCGAUUUUCCCCAGUGCGCUCCCUGGGCCGCUCCACAUGUGCCAGAUGUGAGUCGUCUUUGUGCUCGGAGUCAACCCCAGAACAUCUACUCCAUCCUGAAGACAUCUUGCAAGCAACUGCAAUUCAUAUCCAGAGAAGAAACUUGGCAGAGCUUCAGACAAAUAUAAGUGUCCGCUCUUGAUUAGAGCAAGGCUGGUGAGAGGAUCAACUCCUGACAGGACGUUUGUUUGAUAAAUUUACACAGCAAAAAAAUACGAUGCAUGAGAUUUUGAGACAUUUCAAAAAACUUGGCAUGUUCUGUUAAUUAUUGUUAAUACAUUUCCUUUUCUAAUCAUUUUGUUUACAAGGACGUGACAUGUCAAGGGGCUUGUAAGUAUUUUCAACUCCAGACAGAUGUUUCUUUUAGUCAUUAUUAGAUAAACAAAGACUUCCAGCCAAGGAAAUCACUACAGUUUGAAAUGACAUAUAUCUCCAUAACCGUAUCUGUAACGUCUAACUCAUGAGUUGCGCUGUAUUUCUUUGUCUCAGCACCCCAUUUAGAACAAGCUAGACCGGCUGCAGUAUAUUUCACGGAUCUUAAACGAAUCUCGUGUUUCAUAAAUCAAAUUAUUUCAAGUUAUUCUUCAUUUCUGCCUAUUUCAUUAUGUCACGAUGAAGAACUGUGUCCGGUCUUCGCUGUUUAGAGCUUUAGCGGGAGAAAGGGGGGGGGAGGGGAAGAGUAUGAGUUUGUGUGUGUUCUGUCUUUUUCUUUUGCUGCAGACAGACUGGGGAUGUCAGGUGCAUGAUGGGAAGUGGGUUCGCAGGGGACAGCAGUGUGGCGUAAGGCCAGAAUCAAUUGGCGGUGUAAUGAGAUGGCUUGGUGCCAGGUUUCCAUGGAGCUCACUUUUCCUGUCCUUCACUGGAGGAUUUGUAAAUUAAAGGGAGAGAGAAAGCUUUGGAGGGAGGCAGGAGAGAAAGGGAGAGAGGCAAACAGAAAGAAAAGGAGGGAGUGGGUGGCAGAGGAGUAGCAAAAGGGCACAACCAAAGGAGGGGGCACGAAGCUAGACAGAGAAAGGUGCAGCGAUUUACAAAAAAGAAAGAGGGGAUGCAAGACAGAGGCUUGGAAUGCUGUAGCUCCAGAGAGCUCAGCACAGCGCAAUUCGCCGAAGAUGACGGGGCUUCGUAAUGCGCGCUGUCUUUCAGACAUUUUUUUUUUUGGUUAUUGAUGCCGAACUCAAGCUCAGGAUCUCAGAGAUAAGGUGCACUUGGCGAAGAGAUGAAAAGAAGGUCUUUCCUUUCUAUUUCUGUGUGCCACAAUGAUAGGUGCUUUUCAUUUCUGCCCCCUCGAGCCCAAAAUCUGUCUGAUAAAACUUACUGAAAUCAGUGCAGUGACAUCCCUUCAAUCCAGCAGCGAAAAGACUGUCGUGAUUGCGCAAAAAGUGGCUGAUUAGCAUUAUAAAACAUCAUUUAUUUUGAGAGUCAUUCACUUUGCGACUCUAUUACGGAUAACCUUGCGCAAGAAGUUCUUCUUCGCUUAUCAUUCUCGCAGCUACAUUUCAGAAUACAGCAUGCUUUAAAAUUGAAGGUUUUCUCACGCACAAAGGACUCUCGUCUUGUGCGGUUAAUGCCCUUCUUUUUCACAAAGGCCAACUUUUUUUCAUUUAGGAGCUUAAUUCUUCCACUCCAGGGGUAUUUCAUUCCCAAGAUCUCCGGUUUGUCCAUGUUGAAUUAACCACCAGCUUUCCCGCAGGCACCACAAUGUUUUAUGCAUACCGUUUAUUAAUUUACAUCACGAUUUGCCUGUUUAUCCAGACUCGGAUAAUCCUUUUCACUCUGAUCACAAAUUUACAGCAUUCCUAUUUUAUGGGCCUUGGCAUCUUUAAGCUGAUAAUUUAUUUUGAAUGAAACAAAUUUGUAGAAGCUGGAACUCUCCUUGUCUUGAUUCGGGCGGGAGGGUGUGGAUGUUGAUGGUGCCGGCUGGGCCCGUGUUGGAUUAGAAGCCUGAAGUAUAUUGACGGAGCAUUUGAGGUCAGCUGGGGACACACAAGACUAUAACCCGCUGAGAACCACAGAGGAACCGGCUGAGUCAUGGUCUCAAAUCAGUUUCAGCCAAUCCUGGAGGGUGGAUGCGAUGGUGGUGGAACAGAGUGGAUAGUGUUGCAGUGGUUCAUGGGUAGACGGGAACAAAGAGACUCUUCAUGUCCUCUGUGCCUCACAUGCAUCAUCUCGCAUAAAGCUCAUUCUGUCUGUAUUGGGAUACUAUCCUCUUAUUUCUCCGAUACAUUCUUAAGAUGUUGUGCAGGGAUAACAUAAAGAAAAGGAGAAGAUGCUUGAACCUUACCACAAAUCAAAGCUAAAUGACACUAAUUGGUCCACCGGCGCUGUUUUCUCUUGACUGCAGACCGCAUUGUAAUGAAAACAAAACACCACUUUGGAGCAUUUUCUUUCCCACGAGAUUAACCGUAAUUAACUAGUAUCACUGCUGGGCAGCAGGUGAUGUCUCAGCCACGGACAAAGGGCUGAUUGGUCAUGCUACAUUUUUGGAUGUAAUUGAGACACAGUUUACUUCAUAUUUAACCUUCAUCAACAGCACCAUUUUAUUGAUGUGCUAAUAUUGAUCAUUUAUUUAACAUGCUGAGACUUUCUCUAAUGUAGAGGCCUUGUGUUUAUAGUAGAAGGCAGAAAAAUAAGUUCAUGUUUUAGCUUCUGUUUUGCAUUUUUAAUUUAAUAAUAUUUUUUAAAUGUCAAUAAUAACAAUAAGAAGAAUUAAUCAAAUUUCAUCUGUAAUUUUUUUUAACUACAUUUGAACUCUUUUAAAACUAUUUUGAGAAUAUUUUUGUAUUUAAUUGUUUCAGUGAAAACCACACUUAAGCUAUUUUAACUGUGGAAAAACCUGAUGAUCGUGUUCUCCAGUAUGAUGCGAGUUGAUCCAAAAAGCUUCUAGUGCAUCAAUGGCAACAAGAACAUCUCGUGUCCGUUCAAAGACAGUCACAUGGUCAGUGUCACAUGUCAUUUAAUUUUAGAUAGUAACCAAGAAAUAAUGUAGAACCUGCAACGCAUGUAAAUAUAUAUAUCAGACAUCAGAACUUUUCUUUGUCACUUUCCAGUUUUAAAUGUGAUUCUAAAUCCUAGAUUUCAGAGUUUUGGUCCUUCAGAUCCCACUUGGUCACUUUCUGCUGCAAUUUCUAGCUCUGGCUUUAUAUCUGGCUGGUCAGGAGUGAGACAGAGAGACCGCUGGCCCGUUUUUUUAGAUUUUGGUUAAUGCAAUGGAUUGGUGGAGCAGUGCCGCAGCAGUGCGUGAGUAGAAUAUCAGAGAGAGGGAGAGGCAUUGAAUUUGGAGGGGUGAGACAUGGUGCCUUCUUAACGGAGUCUGAAGGCAUAUGUUUAUCACCGACACGCUGUACACUGUACACGACUCACCCUCCCUCCAACCACCACGCUGGGAGUCGAGUAGAGUAAGAGGGGCUGGAGGUAUUGCUUACAGUCAGCGCUCUGCGGGAAACACCACUGCGUGUUCACAUGGCUUCUCCCCGUCCCCUGGGAAACGGCACAUACCCGCCGGGCAUUCAAGUCUAUUGGGGUGUCAGCUUCAGUCUGCUGAGUACAGCCGGCAUCUUAAAGUGAGAACGCUGGAGAUGAUCGGGUUUUAAAGUGCUGUGUUUGGCCUAAUGCUGAGAUCAGCGCUCAAAAAACAUUUUCAACCUCUGCUGCUGGUGUUUCUUGUUGUUGUUGUUGUUUUUGGUAUAGUUAGGUUUGAUGCUCUGAUUUAUGAACGUCUACAUAGCAAAGCGCUAUAUUUGCAGACUGCUGAUCCUAAGAAGAUGUGCCACAAUAAGACCCUCUAUUCUUAGCCGGCACACACUGAUGCGCUUCGCUGUCAGCCCGGACCCACUAGUAUUUCAAUUAAAAAAAUCUUAUUUCACUAGAAAGAUAUAGGUUAAGACAAAAGAAAGGAAACACUGGUUUUCAGAAAGUGUCAGUGUUUGCCGAAAUGGCAAGUCCACCGCGAAGCAAUUUCGCCCCAGCAAACAAUGGCACGGGGCCAACGAGACUCUUUCAGAAGCUAGACUGAACUGCAGAUUAGUAUUUAUUUUUGGUGCAGAGAAGUCUUCCAAGAAGUAUGCGUGUGCAUGUGUGUGUGUUUUUGGGAGGUGUAUGUGUGUGAGGUUGGGGGGGUUUGGUCGGGCGGUCUGGGAGAGGGGAGCGUGAGGACUGCCGAGGAGUUGUUACCUGGGUUGCUCCUCUACAGCUGGGAGAGAGAGAGAGGCAAGAGGAGGAGACGAGGUUAAGGGGUGACGGGACUGGUGCACAAACUCCAUUUUCCUUUUUGCCGAAUUUCCACAGUCGCUUCUUUCUUUUCUGUUUCGCUUCAUUCAACAGAGUUGAGUGAAAGAGAGGGAGAGGGCUAUAGAGAGAGAGUGAAAGAGAAAAUCAAGCCAAUUUUUUUUUUAAGACUCGAUCUUGGCUUUCUUACAAACAGAUGUUGCCUGUCAUUUGGUCGUUAAGCAGGCACAUAGAUCGUACAAUACUGAGGUUUUACUGACUUGCUUUCUCUUAUUUAUGGUUUUAUUACAAGGAAAAUCGAUCUCUCAUAAACAUGGGAAUGAUUUUUUCCCAAUCCAUUUGUUUUUUUUUUUAUAAUGUAUUUUUCCCUCGCUGUAUCUCAUCCAUUUGCUCGUUUCUAUUUUUUUUUUUUUUUUUUUGCGCAUUUGUGUUUUGGGCUUUCGUGGGCCACAGUGGACGUUCUCCAUACCUUCUACCAGUACUGUAAGUACAGUGAGUGCAAUGAGACCUUUUGGAAACAGUAAACAGACAGUCGGUAAGCAUUUGAUUCUUUCUAUUCGGCAUAUUUGUUUACCACAUCGUUACGUUUUAUUUUCCUGUGCUUUAUAUUUGCCAUUUUUUAUCGUUGUUGUAGAAGUCAGUGUUGUUGGUGUGCAGGUUGCUGAGGCCUGGGCGUGUUAUUGAAGUUGAUCUGAUGUAAAAUCCUAUAUCCGUUCACUUUGGUUCAGAAAGACAGGGUCAGUCUCACUCCUGCUGACCCCUAUUCAGCUGAUUUUGAGGAGUCUUUCAACUUUUUGGCAUAGCCCCACUAACAUAGUUAAAGGAUCUUGGCACAUAGUUCAAAGUCAGUCUGUUCAUUUGUGUUCAAGUAGUGGGAAACGGGAAGGGAUCUGUCAGAAGCUCUUCACCGGAGGUGCAGUGCCAGUCCAAAUCGACCAUCACAUUAUUUCACACUGAGCCACGUGUUAUUAAUGGCACUGGGUUUGGCUUUGUGGGCCAGACUUACUUCACACAUCUUUAUUAUGCUUAGGAGGGGCCUGAAACAUUUGGAUGCAGAAAUCUUCUGGGUUUGAGAGAAAUGUUGUUUCUGUUUGGUGAGAGUAUACUAAAUUUAGACAACAUAGGUCAUUACUGUAAUGCAUAGGUGCUGCCCUGUGAAUGAUUCAGAAUUGAGGGCUUAAGCUUACCUUAGUUUUUGAAAUGUAGAAACAAGACUUUUAAAGUCAGCCAUUGCCAGUGCUUUAUUUUAAUGCUUGAUUUUCAUAACAAAAAAAACUAUAAAAGCCUGACUUUAAACACUUUUUAAAACACAUAUGUGUUAUAUGAUGCUGUGCUAUACAAGAAAAUUGUCAGUAAUCUGUAUAUACAGCGUUGUGUGGUCAGCUCAGGGGAAAUGCAGAUGUUUGGCUUAUAGAUGUACUGACAGGUCUUUGAGUUGACGCUGCUCAGCUGUUGUCCUCUGUGGAUUGGGCUCUGCAGGCCCAUGAAACCUAAGAAUGAUGGUCUGAUGGAAGGGGAAGAUGCCAAAGAGCUAGAAAAUAAAAGGUUAAUGCAUGUUUUAGGGGUGGCAUUCUUGGUAUUGAUUUUUCCUGAAUGAUUAGGAUAGCCAUGUGUUUCAACAGCUAGAAAGAUUGAUUUGCAAUACAGUAUUUUAUUGCUUUGUAUGUUCAUUUUUAUUUUCACCUUAUUAAAUACUUUGCCACUUGUUACAGGGGCAAUAGAAAAACAAUUGUUUUUAGUUAUUGUAUAACUUAGUCGUUUAAUUCAACCGAAUAUUGAAUCAUAAAAAAAGAAACAAUUUAAAAAUGUGAAAUAGUAGAUAUGAUGCCAAAUAAUUUUCAGAUUUUUAAAUAUGGCAAACAGUAACUUUCAUUUAUAUCAGUAAAAUAAUUAUGUUAUAAUAAUAAUAAUAUCUAUUAAUAAUAUGAAUAGAUAAGAAAAUUAAAUUCUUUCAUCUAUAAUAUAAUGAAAUAAUAUUUAUUUUAAUAUUAUGAAAUUCUUGAGAAUUUGUUUAUUUAUUUGACUGCUCUGCUGUUUUCCAAAUAAUUACCAUUAUUUGAAGAUAUUAAUUUAAGUUAAAAUAUAGAUUCCUAGUGCAGUAUCUGAGUGUUUUUGUGUCUUUAUUUCUUCUAGCAGGUGGUUUGUAGAGCAGACAAUAGUAAGAUUAUAUCCGUCUAACACCGAUUUUUCACUGUUCAUACUUCUUUUCUAUCUUUUUUUACCGUUCUUUCUUUCACAUGCCUUUAUUUUGUAGUUAUCAUGCACUUAAAAAGACGUUUGAUCAGAUCCUUCAGAGAAAGGUUGGCUAUUGGCCAGCUUGGACACACCUUUGGUUUCCUAUUGUUCCCAAAAUUCCUCUCUGAUUCCCCUUCUCUAUUUUCUUUCAGCUGGUACAGUUUACUCAGACUAUAAGGCAAUGAUUUAAUUGCUUUUCUGACUUGGAAAUGGACAAGCAGAUAGUAAUAAAACCUCUAUUUUCUAGAAGACUGACUUUAUCUAAACUGAUAUUUGGUCAACCUCUUAAUUUAGCCGUAUCUUCCAGUCACACAAUAUCAGAAUGAGUGGGUGUGAUGCUGCCAUCAACUCAUGAAAUCACUUUUUGACCAGCUUUUUUAAUUAACUUCGCUUGCAAUAUGUGUUACAGUUGGGGAUUGUUUUUUGACACCUCCUGACUGUUCUUUUCACCUAGCUUUACACCAUUUUUCUCAAUAUUUGACUUUGUUCUGUGUCUCCAGGCACUCUGCCUCCAUUUUGAGAGCCUUUUUGGAAACAGAGCUCUUUUAAAUGGUGAGGUUACAGCUCUUGUCUUUUAAAGUAUGUUCAGAAACUGCAUUGCAUGAUUAAAAAAAGAAAGAAAGAAAUGUGCCAAUGAUCUAUAGCUAAUGCAUAAUAAUUUGAAACAUUUGAAAUGUGUUCGAAGUAAAUCAGUGUUUUGAAUUUUAUAUAUUUAUAAUUUGUGAAAGUUAUCUCUCUCCUCCUCUCUUAAAUAGAUAAUAUAAUAAUACCAUUGCCAUCUUUAAAAGUAAUUGUUUGAAUGUGCAUUUGUGGUAGUGCUAUUCUAUUGUUGUCAUUUUCAUAUUUUCAUUAAACAAGGGGUUUUUCUACAUUGUUUGCUCGCUGUUCUUGCACUGUUGACUUGGCUUUUAGAUUCAUAGCCCACAGGAGAGCAGUGAAGUCAUUUACAAGAAUAUAGUACAAAUAUCUCAGUGUGUGUUUGAAUGUCUCAGAUGAUCUCGCCAAUGUGGGAACAUUUUCAAUUGUAUCCAAUCAAAAUAGAAAAUAAAGAAGCGCAGGCUUUUA